GUCUUUUUGAAAUAAUAUAAAGUCUAAUCUGCCCACUGAUAAUAAUUAAAGGGCUGCAGUAUAAUGACUGUACAAAGGUAGCAUAAUCAAUAGUUUUUUAAUUGAAAACUUGUAUGAAAGAUUUGAUGAAAUAUAGACUGUCUCUAAUUUAUAAAUUGAAUUUUAUUUUUUAGUAAAAAAGCUAAAAUAAAUUUAAAAGACGAGAAGACCCUAUAGAGUUUUAUAUUUAAUUUUAUUUGAGAAUUAUAUAAAAAUUAAUAUUAAAAAUAAAAUUAAAUAUUAUAUUGGGGUGAUAGAAAAAUUAAAUUAACUUUUUUUAAAAAUUAAACAUAAAUAAAUGAUUGUAUGAUCCAUAAAUAAUGAUUAUAAGAAAAAAUUACCUUAGGGAUAACAGCGUAAUAUUUUUUUUUAGUUCAAAUAAAAAAAAAAGUUUGCGACCUCGAUGUUGGAUUAAGAUAAAAUUUAAAUGCAAAAGUUUAAAAAUUUUGAUCUGUUCGAUCAUUAAAAUCUUACA
rnacentral:rRNA from 3 species